rnacentral:misc_RNA from 1 species
GUGAAUCAUCGAAUCUUUGAACGCAAAUUGCACUCCCUGCUAUUCCGGAGAGUAUGCCUGUUUGAGGGUCAGUUUAAAUAAAAAUCGUUGUGUUUGCUGCCUUUCGUGGUGACGUACCGGAUUUGGUUCGUCUUGCCUUCUUUUAAGUGACCUAAAAUUUUGCAUGAUUUUUUCGACCGUAUUUAAAUGAAUUUACGUACAUUUUCAAUGUAGCGUAC